GACGAACGCUGGCGGCGUGCCUAAUACAUGCAAGUCGAGCGAACAGAUGAGAAGCUUGCUUCUCUGAUGUUAGCGGCGGACGGGUGAGUAACACGUGGGUAACCUACCUAUGAGACUGGGAUAACUCCGGGAAACCGGGGCUAAUACCGGAUAAUAUUUUGAACCGCAUGGUUCAGUAGUGAAAGACGGUUUCGGCUGUCACUUAUAGAUGGACCCGCGCCGUAUUAGCUAGUUGGUAAGGUAACGGCUUACCUAGGCGACGAUACGUAGCCGACCUGAGAGGGUGAUCGGCCACACUGGAACUGAGACACGGUCCAGACUCCUACGGGAGGCAGCAGUAGGGAAUCUUCCGCAAUGGGCGAAAGCCUGACGGAGCAACGCCGCGUGAGUGAUGAAGGUCUUCGGAUCGUAAAACUCUGUUGUUAGGGAAGAACAAAUUUGUUAGUAACUGAACAAGUCUUGACGGUACCUAACCAGAAAGCCACGGCUAACUACGUGCCAGCCGCCGCAGUAA
rnacentral:rRNA from 1 species